ACAAUUGCAGUCGAUGUAGUGC
rnacentral:miRNA from 1 species